rnacentral:rRNA from 1 species
UACGGAGGGUGCAAGCGUUAAUCGGAAUUACUGGGCGUAAAGCGUGCGCAGGCGGUUAUGUAAGACAGAUGUGAAAUCCCCGGGCUCAACCUGGGACCUGCAUUUGUGACUGCAUAGCUGGAGUACGGUAGAGGGGGAUGGAAUUCCGCGUGUAGCAGUGAAAUGCGUAGAUAUGCGGAGGAACACCGAUGGCGAAGGCAAUCCCCUGGACCUGUACUGACGCUCAUGCACGAAAGCGUGGGGAGCAAACAGG